rnacentral:rRNA from 1 species
AAAAUGCUGUGUAAUGGCGGGCACAACAAAAAAAACUUCGAAUAUUGGAGAUCGAAGAUAUCAAAUUCGAAAAUGGAAAUCGAAUUAUAACUUUAAAAUCUAGAAAUGUCUCUUAUUAAUGAUUCGGAAAUAUAAAAAACUUGGUUAUGUUAUUAUUCUUCGUUGGUUCGUUUAAUGGAAAACACUUUGCUACAAGAAAUAAUUGAAAUUUUAUAACGAAUUUAAUAAAAUGUUUUUAUCAUUAUAUAUAAAGAAUUAAUGGCAAGAACAAGUUAUAUACAACCUCAACUCAUAUGGGACUACCCCCUGAAUAUUAAUUAGGGGAGGAAAAGACUCUAACAAGGAUUUUCUUAGUAGCGGCGAGCGAAAAGAAAACAGUUCAGCACUAAGUCACUUUGUCUAUAUGGCAAAUGUGAGAUGCAGUGUAUGGAGCGUCAAUAUUCUAGUAUGAGAAAUUAACGCAUAAAAGCUGCCAGGCCUGUAUAAAGUUAAUGAUUACUAGAUGAUGUUUCCAAAGAGUCGUGUUGCUUGAUAGUGCAGCACUAAGUGGGUGGUAAACUCCAUCUAAAACUAAAUAUAACCAUGAGACCGAUAGUAAACAAGUAAACAAAUAAUUAUCAUUGAUUUUUGUGUUUAUUAUAUGCACUUGUAUGAUUAACAAUGCGAAAGAUUUAGGAUACCUUCGGGACCCAUCUUGAAACACGGACCAAGGAGUCUAGCAUAUGUGCAAGUUAUUGAGAUAUAAACCUAAUAGCGUAAUUAACUUGACUAAUAAUGGGAUUAGUUUUUUAACUAUUUAUAGCUAAUUAACACAAUCCCGGGGCGUUCUAUAUAGUUAUGUAUAAUGUAUAUUUAUAUUAUUUAUGCCUCUAACUGGAAAGUACCUUGAGCAUAUAUGCUGUGACCCGAAAGAUGGUGAACUAUACUUGAUCAGGUUGAAGUCAGGGGAAACCCUGAUGGAAGACCGAAACAGUUCUUGCAAAUCGAUUGUCAGAAUUGAGUAUAGGGGCGAAAGACCCUAUCCGAAGCUAUCCGAAAGGGUAGCUGGUGCAUUUUAAUAUUAUAUAAUAUCUUAUCUGGUAAAGCGAAUGACCUUAGGGUCGAAACGAUCUUAACCUAUUCUCAAACUUUAAGUGGGUAAGAACCUUAACUUUCUUGAUAUGAAGUUCAAGGUUAUGAUAUAAUGUGCCCAGUGGGCUACUUUUGGUAAGCAGAACUGGCGCUGUGGGAUGAACCAAACGUAAUGUUACGGUGCCCAAAUUAACAACUCAUGCAGAUACCAUGAAAGGCGUUGGUUGCUUAAAACAACAGGACGGUGAUCAUGGAAGUCGAAAUCCGCUAAGGAGUGUGUAACAACUCAUCUGCCGAAGCAACUAGCCCUUAAAAUGGAUGGCGCUUAAGUUGUAUACCUAUACAUUACCGCUAAAGUAAAUUAUUUAUAUUACUUGUGAUAUAAAUUUUGGAACUUUAGUGAGUAGGAAGGUACAAUGACGCGCAUGAAUGGAUUAACGAGAUUGCUACUGUCCCUAUCUACUUACUUGUGGCAGAGCUUUUUCGCCGGCCGAAGAGCAGUAAUCCGAAGCGGUUCCGGUGCAGUGAAUGUCGCGGUAACUAGAGGUUGCCGGCAGGGGUUAAUCAGCGGCCCAUUUAUUUGGGACAUGCUCAUGGACGUACUGCUUCAGCGCCUCGAGCCGUAUUGCCUGCUAAGUGCAUACGCGGAUGAUCUGCUUCUUCUCAUCGAUGGAAAUUCCCGAGCCGUUCUAGAGGAAAAAGGAGCGCAACUGAUGUCCAUCGUUGAAACGUGGGGAGCGGAAAUAGGCGUUGCCGUUUCAACCAGCAAGACGGUAAUAAUGCUGCUCAAAGGUGCCUUGAGACGUGCGCCUACGGUAAGAUUCGCUGGAGCGAACCUGCCGUAUGUGCGUAGCUGUCGGUACCUUGGCAUCACGGUCAGUGAAGGAAUGAAAUUCCUCACGCACAUAGCUCUGCUUUGCCAGCGGAUGACCGGAGUCGUCGACUGGGGCAUCAGUCAUCGAGCCAGGCGGACCAUAUAUGCGGGACUCAU